AAUCAUUUUAGACCACACCCACCAUACCACACAUGUUAGGGCAAAUCAUUUCAGCCUCCUAAAUCGCCUCCAUCUCUAUUCUCGUUCUCAACUCUGAACUUGCCCUCUCUCUGUCUCUGCAACUUCAAACUACAAAAUCUACAAGAUUCAGAUCAGCCUCCCAAAUCGCCUCCAUCUCUAUUCUCGUUCUUAACUCUGAACUUGCCCUCUCUCUGUCUCUGCAACUACAAACUACAAAAUCUACAAGAAUCAGAACCCAUAUCGUUAUAUCAUUUCAGAUUGUUUAAAAAAUUAAAACCCAUAUCCUUCAGUUUCCAUCGCCCGCUGAUCGAGUUCGAGUUCGCCGUUCGAAAGCUUCAGCCUCAGGCCCGUUGUCUCUCAACUCUUAAGCCCUCUCUACUCUCUCAUAAGGAUGACGUUGAGUAACGACUUGAAGAUCAGCAAUCGACCAAAAUUGCAGAACUCUACAGAUUGCAGGGGGGAGAUAACAGCUUACUUUCGCUCUUUCCCUCAAGCUAAUACAAGCAAGGAUGCAGACUUAUGGAUCCCAACAGACACAAAACACAUGAUCACUGGGAAUGGCGCUCCCUGAUGUCAAGUACUUUAUAGAAGCUUCAGUUGCUGCCUUGCGAAUAUUUGAUAGGAUUGACCGGAUUCCUAAAAUCGAUGGUGAAGACUAAGGUGGGUGAAAGAGGGGCUCUUUUAUCAGGUGGACAAAAACAGCGGAUUGCCAUUGCUAGAGCUAUCAUUAAGAACCUUGUGAUUUUACAAGGUCAAAGCUAGGAUUGCGGGAUUGCGGUUCCCAUUACAUUUUUUUGUUGCCGUUAUAUUUUUUGUACGGCUCAUGAUCAAGGAGUUGCAUAUAUGGAAGAGAGAGACUAAAACAGAACAAGAAGAUAUGAAGAAUUUUUGUUUUAUUGUGGUUAAGUAAAGAUAUAAGCUUGUGGAUCAUGUACUUCUUUGAAAUUUGUAUAUAUUUUUGUAUAAAAUCAUGAUUUGGAAUUGGUUAUAUAUAUAUAUAUAUAUAUAUAUAUAUAUAUAUGAUGUUAUUGGCCAAUUGUAAGUUAUUUUGUUUAUGAUGCUAUUUUUUAUUUAUAGGGUUUGCUUCUUGGGUCCUUGUAAGGCUAGUAGUAGGGUAAAAAAAACAAGGCCUCAUAGGGGUUGUACAUUAUUUUUUUUAAAAAAAUAAUAUAACAUUUUCUACCACAGUUUUGCACCGUGGUAGAAAGUGGACUUUCUACCACGGUGCGGAACCGUGGUAGAAAGCCUUCUGCUUAUUACCAUGACAGUUUCUAUCACGAUUCAAAACCGUAGUAGAAAGCAUUUUCUACCAUGGUAAAAAGUUGAUUUUCUUGUAGGGGUAAAGUUUUAAUAAAAGGUUCACUCUUUGUCUUGAUGAUCGGUACUAAAUUUGUGUGUUAGUUUGAGGGUAAUGAUAUGAUUAUUUCUUUAGUUGGCUUAGAUAACAACAUAUUUGAUACCGGUUCACUAAAAAAGGAUUCUAAAGUUUUUUUUAUUUGCAUGAUCAUUAUCUUGAUGUGUGCAGGAUAAUACUUGCUUGUGUUAAGAAUUUGGGAGAUUGCUUGGAAAGGGUUGAAAUAUUGCGUACUUGAGAUAGUUUUCUCCCAAUACUUAUUUUGUAUAUUGGUGCCUCUUUAGUGAGAAAGAGCUCAAUGUUUGUGGGUAUCAUUUCUGGAAACUCUCACGAGACUUCACUCAUCCAUUAGGGGUAACCUAGGGAUUUAAAAGGCUUGUUACAUAUGUUAAAUGCAAUCGUGCUCCCUACGAAAGUGGCGUUAUCCUUUUAUUGCUUUCUAGUUUAUAGUUACUUAAUUGUUUAUUUCUUUGUUUUCCUUGUUGUUCAUUGUUAGGGACUAGCAAUAUCUAAGUUUGGGGGUGUGAUAAAUGCUCAAAUGUGACGCAUUUUAGCACCUGAGUUAAGGUAAAUAAAGUUCAAACAGACUAAAAAGAGCCAUUUAGCUCAAUUUUGGAGCUAAGGAGCGAAGUUGGAAAGAAGUCAAGAAAAUGCACUUGAGGAACUUCGAUCGAUCGAAGGGAAGUCCCGAUCGAUCGAAGAGGGUUAAAAUCGAUCAAGAUGAAGGCGGUGCCAGCUCAGCAAAGUGGAUAAGGCCGAAAAGAUAUUUUUGAUGCCACGCCAACUUCGAUCGAUCGAAGCUAAGUGUUGGAUCGAUCGAGAAUCUUCGAUCGAUCGAAAUGCCUGCUGGCAGUGUUGUCUAAUUCCCGAGUGCCCCAAUUUCUACCUAACUUGUGCAGUUGCGAAUUUCCUCCAAUCACAGGCUAUAAUUCUGACUUGGUCCUUAUUCAAAGGAGUAUAUAAUUGAUCGAUUGAACAUUAUUGUAUCAUAUCAAGAUAGAUAGAUAUUACCAAUUAUAGAAAAAAAUAUUCAUCUCUCUAGAAUUAGGGUUUUUGGAAAGAAAGUAAUGAUGAAGAUGAUGAUGCUAACCUCCAAGCUAGCCCUUGAGGGUUCCAUGACCACUACUAUGAGUGGCUAAAUCCUUCUCUUGGGGCUAGAGAUAUCCCCUAGGCUUACUUCUCAAACCUAGUUUUUGUGUAUUUUUGGGGAUUUUAAUUGUAAUAGAUGUUUUGACCAUGAAUAAAUAUAGACCUUGUGAUUUCUACUUGA